AUUAGGUAGUUGGUGAGGUAACGGCUCACCAAGCCGACGAUGGAUAGGGGAACUGAGAGGUUGGUCCCCCACACUGGUACUGAGACACGGACCAGACUCCUACGGGAGGCAGCAGUGAGGAAUAUUGGUCAAUGGGCGAGAGCCUGAACCAGCCAAGUCGCGUGAAGGAAGAAGGAUCUAUGGUUCGUAAACUUCUUUUGCAGGGGAAUAAAGUGCAGGACGUGUCCUGUUUUGUAUGUACCCUGAGAAUAAGGAUCGGCUAACUCCGUGCCAGCAGCCGCGGUAAUACGGAGGAUCCGAGCGUUAUCCGGAUUUAUUGGGUUUAAAGGGUGCGUAGGUGGUUUGAUAAGUCAGCGGUGAAAGUUUGCAGCUUAACUGUAAAAAUGCCGUUGAAACUGUCGGACUUGAGUGUAAAUGAGGUAGGCGGAAUGCGUGGUGUAGCGGUGAAAUGCAUAGAUAUCACGCAGAACUCCGAUUGCGAAGGCAGCUUACUAAGCUACAACUGACACUGAAGCACGAAAGCGUGGGGAUCAAACAGGAUUAGAUACCCUGGUAGUCCACGCAGUAAAC
rnacentral:rRNA from 1 species